UGUAGUUUCUGCACUGUUUCAUUUGUCUGUUCCUCUCGCCUGGGUUACCUUCUCUUUCAUGAUCAGCUCAAGAGUAAUAUCCACCAGGAAGCCUCAUCUCACCAACUGGCUCUCCCGCCUGGCCAAGUUCAGCCUGUGCACGCGGGCCUGUUCGUGUUGGAGGUUUCAAGGGAGAAGUGGUUGGGGAGUGUAUGGGCCCAGCGGGCGUGGCAUUAUGGGAAUCCUGGAGACUCACAGAACAUCAGGGUCUCCAGGGCAUGAACCUGAUGAUGGCAGCCCUGCCUCUCCCAAGUUCUGCUCUCGGCCCUCCUUUCCCUAUAACAGAGAAGGCAGAAGGCAACGCAAACAUAUUCUAAUCAUGAAACAAAAGAGGGAGAGCUGGAGAAACAGGAGGACAGCAAAUGAGGAAGGAGCCUGUUUACAAAGUCCAUCCCAAAAGUUAUUAAGUAGUGGGAGAGGAAGACAUCUCAGUCCAGGACACUAAACUUCAAGUAGGAAUGCUGCUGCUGGGUCCUUCCCACAUGAACAUUCUGGAGCUUCCCACUGUGUGGUAGGGAUAUGACAAGUCCCCAAGUGACUUCACAGCGUGGCUCAACAGUUUGUGAGAAGUGCAAUGAGAGAAGCACAGCAGAGAGGAGGAGAGACAAAAGCAGCUGUGAGCCCCACUCUGUUCAGCUGGGCCACUGGUUGCUUCACUUGGCAUCUUUCUGAGACAUCACUGUGAAUUAUGUAGAUCUGUCAUGUGGGCAAAAUGUGAAACAUAUCCAAGUGUUGUAUUCUAAAAUUGUACUUAAUAAAAAAUAAAGAAACAUU